CGUAAGCUGAUCGAUCGCUAGCUCCGGCCAUGGACGGCGCCGUGGCGAGCUUGGAGUGCAGCCAUGGCGCGCGCCCGGCGCGGUACACGCAUGGCUGCCGCGUGGUGGUGUCCGUGACGUCACGUGCGAAGGAUAUGGCCUUAAUCCUGAAUUAGAUAGGGUGUUCUUUGAUUAAUUCGCUAAACUUCGUAAUAUUAGGUAAUCGAUUUGGCUUUCGGCCAAAUAUUGAAUUCUUUCGUUCUAUUGCUGCUCAGGUGAUCGAUGAUCAUAGUAGCUUCAUUGCGAUUUGUCAAUGAAAUGAUAUAAAUAUGUAUUAAUUACAAGUUGAAGAGUACUAAUGAAGAACAUCAGAGGCUCAGAGCAAUUGAGCGCACAUCUCGUU
rnacentral:sRNA from 1 species